CAAGAAGAUAGGAAAGGAACAAAAGAAGGAAAGAAAUCACCAAUUGUGUAAACUUGGGCUAGAUACUUAAAUUCUUUGGAACUCAGUUUCCUCACCUGCUUAUCUCAGAUAAGUCUCAAGUGAGAUAAUACAGGAGAAUACAUUCUAAUUGCAGAGAGCUGUAGAACUACACAGCCUCUAUUUUCAGUAGCCAGAAGUCAAUGAAGUAACCCCACAGGCCUUUGACCUGAGAAUUUUCAGGUAGAGACUUCUUCAUGGAUAAUCCUGAAGAGAUAAAUGCAAGGCAGAGAAGAAUGGGGUAGUCAAAGAUGAGUGUUGCAAAGAAAUACUUCUCUGCCUCCCACCAGGGACCAGAAGUUUCACCGCCUUUUUCCAGACCUCUAGGAGAACUGGUUGGAUGAGGUGGUUGGAUGGCAUCACCGACUCAAUGGACAUGAGUUUGGGUAGACUCCAGGAGUUGGUGAUGGACAGGGAGGCCUGGCGUGCUGCAGUCCAUGGGGUCACAAAGAAUUGGACACAACUGAGCGACUGAACUGAACUGAACUGAAGGACAACUAUUCCUCCCUGGCAUACCUCAGCAAUAUUGUGGGUUUUGUUCCAGACUAACCAAAGCCAAUGUCAAAAUAAACCAAGUCACAUCAUGGUUUUUUUUGUUUCCUAGUGUAUAUAAAAGUUAUAUUUACAUUAAACUGUAAUCUAUGAG
ensembl:lncRNA